UAUAGGUAAUGACUGAAGCUGCUGAAGGGAGUGCGGGAUGGCUUCAGCAGUUUUAAAGAUAUCCAUCAAGUGAUUAAUAAAAAUAAAUCUUUGAAGAGUAAAACUGUUACAAGUAAAGAAAAUAUGAUCCAAGGUAGGUAAUGUAAUAAAAUAGAGGAAGAAGAACCACUCUGCAAUUUUACAAGAAGAGGAUGAUUUUUAAUGGAUGAAAUUUUCAACAAAAACCUGUAUAUUAAAUAUUUAAAGCGAAUUUUCAAAGGAGGGAUGUUACAUUCAACCUGCAUUGAUAUUAUGGGUGUGGAACACAUCGCACCAAGCACAAUCCAGCUGAUGUCCAAGCCCAGAUCAUCAUAAUAGGCCUUAAGGCCAAGGAGAGCAACUCUGAGAUUUUCAAUAGCUGCAGACAACUUGUCUGCAGUACAAUAUAUAGUUAAGUCAUCUACAAACUGUAGGUAAUUGUAAAGAAGUUAAAAUAGUUGAAAGUUUUUCCAAAUUGACAUUAUUAUAUGCGCCAACAACAUCAAAGAAAAUACCAACCAAUAUUGAAUUACAAGACAGAGCAUUGUGAAUGUCCAAACAAAAAUGACUCAAGCUCUCUCUAGCCGAACGGCCAUGCCGAAAACCGAACUGAUUACUAGGUAAAAUAUGAUUUCUUUCUAUAAAAAAUUCCAAUCGCUGUUUAAUAAGCUGUUCAAAUAUUUUGCCAACACAAGAACUUAAAGUUAUAGGUCUAUAUGAAUCUGCAACAUUUAUAUCCUUUCCGGGUUUUAAUAUUGGAACGAGACAAUCUGUUUUCCACUGUUCAGGAAUCAUGGAAUGGCACCACAAUGAAUUUAAUAGAUUAAGGAACAACUUCAUAUUUUUGGUGUCUAACAAUUUAAACAUUUUGUAAGAUAAACAAUCUAGACCACAAGCAGAAUCUUUACGAGAUUUUAUGGCUGCUUUCAGCUCUUCAAAUGUAAAACUAUCUACUAAAAAAGAAUUUGGAGAUGUUGUCACAUUGGAAUUACUGUUCUUAUAAUUAUUUGGUACUGUAUCUGGAGUAUAUU